AACCUUAUGGACCUGCGGGCGUAUACCUGCGGAGGGAUCAUUACAAGUGACCCCGGUCUAACCACCGGGAUGUUCAUAACCCUUUGUUGUCCGACUCUGUUGCCUCCGGGGCGACCCUGCCUUCGGGCGGGGGCUCCGGGUGGACACUUCAAACUCUUGCGUAACUUUGCAGUCUGAGUAAACUUAAUUAAUAAAUUAAAACUUUUAGCAACGGAUCU
rnacentral:misc_RNA from 1 species